UUAACUGAAAUUUUUAUGGAGUUGUAACGUUUGCCUUUGUUCGCCGCUAGGGGCACUGUUCCAACUGCAUACAAAUUCGAGUUA
rfam:Bombyx mori DNA, contig: Bm_scaf3_contig3155, strain: p50T/Dazao, build 2, whole genome shotgun sequence.